AUUGAACGCUGGCGGCGUGCCUAACACAUGCAAGUCGAGCGGUAACAGGUGUAGCAAUACAUGCUGACGAGCGGCGGACGGGUGAGUAACGCUUGGGAAUCUGCCUGUUAGUGGGGACACCCGGGGAAACUCGGGCUAAUACCGCAUACGCACUACGGUGGAAAGCCGGGGACCGCAAGGCCUGGCGCUAACAGAUGAGCCCAAGUCGGAUUAGCUAGUUGGUAGGGUAACGGCCUACCAAGGCGACGAUCCGUAACUGGUCUGAGAGGACGACCAGUCACACCGGAACUGAGACACGGUCCGGGACUCCUACGGGAGGCGAGUCAGUGGGGAAUAGUUGGACAAUGGCGAAAGCCUGAUCCAGCGACGCCGCGUGGGUGAAGAAGGCCUGCGGGUUGU
rnacentral:rRNA from 1 species